CACUAUAAUGUGGCUGAUGCAAGACUUGCCCAGCACAUUGAAAAAGGAAAUGAGGAUGGCUUAUUUAUUAGCAGCGUAGCUUCAUGUCAAAAUCUUUGGGCCUUGAUUAUGGAUGCUGGUACUGGUUACACUGCACAAGUCUAUGAACUAUCGCCACAUUUUCUUCACAAGGAAUGGAUAAUGGAGCACUGGGAGAAGAAUUAUUAUAUCAGUGCCAUAGCUGGAGCUGCUAAUGGAAGCUCAUUAGUUGUUAUGUCUAAGGGUACUC
rnacentral:misc_RNA from 1 species